UCAGACUUCUUUAUUAUCUGAGUAAUUUGUGGGUGGAUAAAAACAUGCUGGGAAAUGUCUGCUACCACAGUAACGGUGCAUGAGGAAGUGAGAGAAGCUCUAAGUUAUUCUUUGUGAUCUGUUGUGCUUCUUGUGAUCAAGUCUGACUGAUUCUUACAGCUUUCUGCUGAGGGUGAGACUUGCACUGUGUGCGAUGAAACUCAACAGCUGUGACCUGGCUGUUGCAGAGCCCUUACAUUGCAUCCUGUGCCCUGGCCCCUGCUCAGCUGAUUCACUCUGCAGCCUAUUAGUUUUGCUGGGUGGAACUGCAAAGGGGGAAAGCUUGCCUUGCAGUAUGUGCACCAAGGCAGAGUUCGUCCUGAUGACACGUUUGUGCCUCAGCUGCAGUUCUCCCAUUUGUGCAGCUUUAUAUGGAUGCCUCUGAUCUUUGCUCCAGACCAUGGUGCAAACUCCUCUGGCAGCCUGCUGUUACAAAUAACCACUGGCCUAAAAGGCCAUAGGGAUUUUCAUCAACUAAGAUUGGGGCAGAAGCAAACUCAUAUGCGGGUGAUCUUCUCCGUUGCUUUCACUUUCCAAAGAACAGAAGAGAGGAGAGCAGCCUGAGGCAGCUGAGAAACUGAGAGAGAAAUGAAGCAAACAGGCUGCAAUUCUGCAUCUCAAGUGCACAGUGAAGAACACACAAUGAAAGGACUUGUUCCUCACAGCACAAUUAAUUAUGUUGCUUUCCUGACAGUGAAUUCCCUUGCUCACCAUGUCAAGAAAUGCUUCAUUCAAGAAAAUAAUUAAGUAAGCCCUCUCAGCAAUGGAGGUUUAAUGUCUGGAUUGUAUCUUGUAAUAUUUUUGACACUACUCAGCAAUCAAUUCAGUGAGCUGGUGUCUCAAGGGGCUGUUCUUCUGUUCAUAAACUUAGGUUGCAUUCCAGCUGCAACCUCACAGAGGGAUAUUUUAUCCAGGUAAGAAACAGCUUGUUCAUUUUAAUGGGAGUGACUUGUGUGUCUUUUUCCUUCCAAGUCAAUGACCUCACACGUGGGAAAUGUUUUACUAUCAGCAGGAGAUGUGGCCGGCUUGGCCUUGUGUUGUCCAGCUGGCAGCUGUGUGACCUUCUGUCUGAUCAGAGUAGGUUUUCCUCCAGGGGCAAAAGCAGUACCCUGUUUUUUAAAUUUACUUGGCAGUCCUCUUUAAACAUGUAUAAGAAUACUGAGAUCUGCUCUUUCAUCUGAGUACCACAGAUCUUGGGAUGGAGAACUGAGAGAAUGUAGUGACGAGGGCCCUUUGAAUUUUGGAAUUUGGAAAAACGCUGUGGAUAUCUGUGAAAAACUCUGGCACAGCAACGUUGUUUAAUUGUACUGCAUCUAUCAGUAACAUUCACCAAUGUCUGACAUCAGUCAUUCCUAUGUCAUUUUUGUGAUAUUUGUGGACAGAAGCCACAAGAUAUCUAGCAACAGCUAGUUAUUUGGCCGUACUUUUGCAUUUUUCAGUAUUUAGCUGCUCAUCUCUUUUGCAAAUAGCCUGCACAAUAUGAGAGCUUGUUUUUCAGUCUUUCACCUACAAUCUCACAAUCCCAUUCACCGCUUUGAUGAUUGUAAAGAGUGAGCUGCAGAGCUGUGGAGCCUGCAGAGUUUCUGAAAAUGUACAACGCUUCUAGAAGAAGGAUGCUGUGAACCCAGCAGUGAACAUGCAGGAUUGUUCACGGCUAUGGCACAGAUACAAAACAAGUCGAGUUUAUUUCUGCCUUGGUCGUAUUUUUACUAUUCACUGUUAGACUAUCCUGUCUAAUGAACACAAAAUCCACAAGAUUCUUAUUUAGGUGUCACCAACCACUUUAACCAAGAAGAUGACAAAAUGCUCUGCACACCCUGAGGCAUGCCUUAGAGCUUGAAUCUCCUGCCGCGUAGCACUGGUGCAGUGAGAUGUGGGCUGGAGUGCAGGCAAACAUGAGAGGACAGUCUGAGGCUGGGCAGAAAAAGUGUCAGAAUCAGUCAAAGCUGCUAGAAGAAACUUAAGGUGUACUGGAAUGCAUUUUCUAAUGUCAAAAGUACCAUCUUCUCUGUCAAGCCUGCUCUGUCUCCACAGAGUGCCUCUAUAAUUGUUUCCUUUGGGGCUGAAAUCACUUUCUUUUAUCACUGAUCCUGCAGUUGAGUCUUCUUACAGGAGAACCAGCGUGUCACAGUUCAGCAUUAUCUGCACUACAAUUAUUACAUAUGUAUAAUAUAGAUAAUAUGAUUAUUUGUACUCGUGCAAGUUCUCUCAUCCUUUUAAUUUCAGAUUUAUGUUAAAUUACAUACACCUUUAUGGGGUAACUGCCUCCCAGAGCAUGUCAGCUGAAGAAUUGAAGGUGAAAGAUGAGAGCAUUAGCACCCAACACUUUCUGUAAAUAUCAGGGUGCUUUUCAGUACUUCAGCAACUUUGCUCACUCCACUGAUGGCAAAGAACUUCAAUGAGAACAGAGGAGUCUGAAGGGUUGUAAGUCUGGUACAAAGCAGAACGUGAAAGCUGCUUCAUUUGUUAAAAGACCACAGCUCAGGGAUCUGCAUAAAGCUGUGAUGUUUAGGCAGUCAGAGUUCAUUCUUGCAAUCAAACCCUUUAUAUCCUACAGAGACGUCCAUUUUAUAUCGCUAUAAAGGAUCCUGAAAAGGAUUCCUCUCACACUUCCAAGCCUGCAAAUGGGAGAAGUGUACUGAACCUGAGAGACAGUUUUGGGGUUGAUCAGCCUGUCUUCUGGCAGAGUGGCAAAGGAUAUAACUAAACAGAAUGACCAUAGAACAGAUAGAGGGAAGAUACGUUGGGAGCCCUUACAUACAUUUUCUUCUUCUCCCCCUCGGCUCUUUCUUUCAGUAUCUGUUCUUGGCAUUGCACAGGUUACUUCUGUUAGCUUUGCUAAUUUAUCAGCCCUGAUAGAAGUUUGUGCGUGUCAAAAGUCAUGCUGUGCAAAUUACUUUUAAAAUUCAACUCAUGUACCACACUGAAGUUGUAGCUUCAGUCCCACUGGAAACUGGGGAUAAAUCACAGUUCUACAGUCCAGCAAUGGUGGAGUAGGAUGAAACUUUCCUUGGUUGUUGCCAUAAUUUCCAUCCCUAUCAGAAGCACUGGAUGAGGGAGAAUUUCUGACCUGGUGAAAGGAGAAGGUAAGAUUCCAGUAGGCGAUUCAUCCGUUAAUGCUGCAUCUUGCUGCAGGUUUUCAGUGGUCUUCAAACAGGUGUUUGAAUUGAAAUGUGGAAUCGGGAUCCCAGUCUCCUUUACGUCUGCAUAUUCUACUGGAUGAAAUGGAUAUGAUGUGAUAUGAGUAAGGUUCCCUCACCCUCUGCCCAAGGUGGAUAAGAGCUCCGCUGUGCAGAGAAAAUACUUGUACUCAGCUUUUCCAGCAUGUAUUUUUGUGUGAGUAAAACUGAACCAGUUUGUCUCAUGGCUCAUUUCUAAAGCUGCACUAAGCUCUUUGGAAACGUGUGGCAUUUCACUGCUGUAGGGCAGUUCCUGAAGGCUCUGCUUGGGGGUUCCCAUUGGAUAGCAGUCCCCACUUGUUCUAGCACACUGCUGGCAUGGUUAAUGACCAGUAGUGUUUUAGAGCGUGAAUGAUUCUGACUGAUCACUGCAGGAAUAAGAAACUUGCCUAAGUUAAUCUGUUUUAAUCAUCUGUAGCAGCAGACACGUGCACACCACGUUGCCCUUCACGCUUGUCUCUCCUUCCUAAUUGUUCUUACAAUUGCCUUAUAGGUGAGACGGAUUUUGUAAAUAACACAUAAGGUGUAAAUUGUCGUGCAGCUGGGGAUGUUAAGUGUAAGAACAGACUGAGGAAACUGCAUAUGAAUAGAUAGAGGGCAUUAACCGAAUUUAUAACUAACCAACCUUGUUUCCGUCACAGAACGGAGUACCAGCAUUUCUUAUCUGUGUGGUUUGAUUGUGAACUCAUGUGCCGUACUUUCAAUGAGCAGUAACUCCUAUGUUUGAAUGCACAGCAAGGGCACUGCAGCCCUACUUCAAUGACAGAAUGGAGAACCUUGAUCUGGAGGAGCUCAGGUACGAGGAGCAGCACGUUACCAGGAGUGCUGCUUAGAAGUGCGUGAUCUGAAAGCACAGAUGAGGUUACUGUCCCUUUGUUUGUGAACAAAAGACCUCUGUUGAGACUGAAAACCACUUUGUCUUUUUCUGCAUAUUGUAGUCACCCGAAUUAGAUGCACUCCAGGUGAACAUCUCUGCCAUUUUUUUCUUCUGGUUUUUGUCUGUCAAGAGCUGAUUCCAUAACUCCAGAGACAACAGAUAAAAAAGAUUUAUAGAACUGUGGAAGUCUUUUUCUCCAUGUACAGGUCCUCUCCUUAGAAUAGUUCAACUUGAGCUGCGUUUCUAAGAAACAGCAAGAAUUUGGAAGGAUUUCCUGAAUGAGGGUUAAAACAGAGAUAUGGCAGCAUUUGAAUUGGGCUGGUUUUUUUGCUUACCUGUUUUUUUUUCCUACUCCUACAUGUGCCUUUUCCUUUCCAGUGUAGCCAUAUCUGGAGGUUCUGACCAGACUGAGACUUGUGAGGGUCAAAAUCUUGAGGAACAGCAGAGAGAUGCUUAGCAAGCUGAUGUGACUUAGAGUUAAGGGUCUUCUGAGUCUACUAAGAAAUCCCACCCUGUCUUUGUCUGUCUUCUCAGUGACACUGGUAUCGCAUUAAAGUUCAGUGAUUGAAGGAUAGGAACCUGCAGGGAACCUGCUUUGGCAGGGGGUUGGACUCGAUGAUCUCUGGAGGUCCUUUCCAACCCCUACAAUUCUGUGAUUCUGUGAACAUGGGUAUUUCCUUUGUUCAGCCUUAUUUACAUACAAACUACUUUUUGGAGUACUGUAUGGCAAACCUGCAAGGUCCUGGUGGGAAAGUAUUGCCAUGCUAAUUCCUCUGCUUGGGAUUACAGGAAAUAAGUUUGUUUUUUUUUCUCCAUGCUGACAUCUAUGCAGCCCCUGAAAAUAGUUAACAGAAUUUGGGUGCUUCCAUAUCAACUAAUUGAAUUUGUUUGGCUCAAUCAAGCAGCCCGCUCUACUGAAGCCAGUGGCAUCAGGUGGGACACAUAUUUGGCUGAGCUUCACAAAAAUUAUUGGCUCCACACUUGGUUGUACAGUGGGGAACACAAAACCACUGCAAGAUUCAGCUUUCACACUGCUCUGUUUAGCUUUUCAGCACAUAAUCUGGACCACUGGCUGUAAGCAGUGCUGCAGUUGCUGCUAAGAUUUAAGCACAUCUCCUGAUCUUGAGAUCUUCUCUUUGUCACCUUCUCACCUUUUCAGCAAGUCUGGAGGAAGCUGAGUGCACCAACCUUUUGCGUUUUCCACUCUAAAUGUCAUUCAUCUUCAAGAUUUCCCCGUCAGCCAGGUUAAAUAGCAUUCCACCACGCUCACUCACUUGCUACACGUUCCAGAUUUGCAUCCUGAAUGGAUGCAAAAUGGAUGCAAAUGUGGAGAUGAUUUAUGAAUUUCUCAAAUGCUUUACCUUGCAUUAGAUUAAUUGUAGAUUAGGCCUCCUUCUGUUGUCUUUGUGUUCUCCAGCUCAGCUUUCGAAGGUCUGAAUGGCUAUGUGAUAAAGUGAUGAGAGGCAAUAAAAACGUAGGGCAAAAUCUCAUUAGAGGAAGAAAGACACUACGGACUGGAAUACAGCCUUUGAAACUUUCUCAUCAGCUACUUCUACUGGUUGUAACUUUUGCACACAGAAGCAUACAGAGUUACAGUUUGGGGGCCUCAUCCACUGAGCGUACUGACAGUUGCACUGCACUUACAUUGCUUGUUUGUUCUUUAAACCUUACCAGGACCUCCCCAGAAACUCUCUUGCACACACAGAGUCGUAGGCCUCAAAGUAAAACUGUGUGUCUGGGCUGCUGUGAGGCUGUCAAAGAAUUAUCCUGUAAAUCCAGAUCGAGUCACACCUGGAUAAGCCACGGAGUGAAACAUCCCUGCUGGGUUGCAGUCUGCAGCUGUAGGGAAGUACUGACACUCACUCAGCUUAAAGGCCAAGUAUAAAUGAAAUCAAAACAAAAAUCCCAGCAGCUUUGGGAGGAAGACAUGUUUUUUAGACUCCAUUUGCUCAGUCUAAAAGUGAGUUUUCCUCUCAGAUGACCCAGUGGCAAUUUCUUCUGAAGAUGCUGUUGUUAAUGCAUGCUAAUACAUGUUAAUGCAUGCUUAAUUCCUUGUUAACCUGAAGGAGGUUGCAACAAAUGCUACUGCUGGUGUGCCGAGCAGCUUCUCUCUUGUGGACACUCUAAGCUGGCAGGGCUGCACCUCUCUGACACCAAACUUGUGCAGGCUUGGAGAUCAGCUUUCUAAGAACCUGGAGAGGUUUUUGCUGGCUUCCCCCCAUAUCUGCUGCUGCGUGAGACUGCUGUCAGCUUUUAUACAGGCGGUAUAUUUACAGUAGCACUGGAGGUGAAGUGCAAAAUGCUCUUUGAAGUCUCCUUAAAAUCUCUCCCCUGUCAGUUCCCUAUCUUAAUAAUGAUGGAGUUUGGGAAAGGUGUACGAACUGCUAUCUAGUGUGUAUGUGCAAGAGAUAAAGUGCACGUGUAGUUAUAAAACACUCUUCAGAAUCUGAUCUCCAGUCUAUUAACAUGCUGAAAGUGCCUUUUUCACAGUGAUUUAUAGUCCAGCACAACUAUGCAGAAUCACUUCAUUAUGUUUGAAUAAUGAAAAGAGUGCCAUCAAAAAGGCAUGUCUCCAGGGAUCUCUCUGAGGCAACACUUUAAACAAAUGACUUUUUAGAUAAAUUUAUUAUGAAGUGUGAUGAAAGCCAUUUUUCUUAGCAGUCACAUCUUGUGAAAUCAAUGACUUUUGUUGCGCUGUAGUUUUUUUAAUCUCUUACAUAAGUAAAGACUGAGUCUGUAUAGAUGAUGGUUGAUGCUCCGCUAUCACCACAGAAAGGGAAAGUAAUAUUUUAGUGUUUUAAUUCUGGUCUGUUAUGACUGCUAAAUAUUUGUGCACUGAACUUACAGCGUAGUCUUGGAAAGUCUCGGAAAUGUAUUAGUUGCUCUAAAAAUUGUUUUUACAGGCAGCUAUGAAUGUUCAUUCAGAUUUGUUAAGCUAAAAUGUUUUUCUAUAAAAUUAGAACAUUUGCCUAAGACCUUUUCUAUCAAAAGAGCACCCUGGUGAUAUAUCUAUCAGAAGAGCUUUCCUGGUGGCAGUCUGUUCAAUUUUGCUAAGAGGAGUUGGCCAAACCACUCAGAAAUCACCCACCUUGGGACUUCCAUAAUGGUAUAAAAACAUUUAUGUUGCUUUGGCAUGUGAGCAUCCUUGAAUCUCUCAUUAAAAAUCUAACAUUUGAUUAUUAACAAGACAGACGAUUUUCUAAAAUCUGUACGGACUUUUUGUAAUCAAAGACACUGUGAAAACACGUAUUUUGUCAUCGGGACACCGAUAUUUUGAAUUAAGAUAUGCGAUGCUGUUUCUUCUGGAACUUCACUGAAUUUGAACCUGAUGAAGUUCAACAUGAGCAAGUGAAGAAUUCUGCACCUGGAGAAUAAUGACUGCAUGCAUCAGUGCAGUCAGGGGCUGAGCUGCUGCAGAGGCGCUGCACAGAGAAGGACCUGGGGGUCCUGGUGGGCUGCAGGUUGGCCGUGAGCCAGCAGUGCACCCAGGAGGCCAGGAAGGGCAGUGGUAUCCUGGGGUGCACUGCAAAGAGGGUGGCCAGCAGGGCGAGGGAGCAGAUCCUCCUCUCUGCUGUGUCCUGGUGAAGCCACAGCUGGAGUGCUGCAUCCAGUUCUGGGCUCCUCAGUGCACAAAAGACAGGGAACUGCUGGAGAGUCCAGCAGAGAGCCACAAAAGUGAUAAAGGGCCUGGAGCAUCUUCUGUAUGAGGAAAGACCAAGAGAGCUGGGGCUGUUCAGGCUGGAGAAGAGAAGGCUGAGAGGGGGUCCAAGGCAAAUGUGGGUGGACUCUUUUCAACAGCAAGUAACAAUAGAACAAGGGGCAAUGGCCAGAAACUGGAAUAUGGGAAGUUCCAUACUAAUGCAGAGAAGAACUUAUUUACUGUCAGAAUGACAGAAUACUGGCGCAGGCUGCCCAGAGGGGUGGUGGGUUCUCCUUCUGUGGAGAUACUCAAGACCCAUCUGGACAUUAAGCUGUGUGACCAAUUGUAGGGAACUGCUUUAGCAGUUAUUUACAGAGUUUAGCAGCUUACAGAGUUAUUUGAAGAUGUUUUUGUCCUGAAGUGACCCCUCUUUGACUCUCCUUAAAUGAAGUACUGAUGGGAGGGUUGGACAUGGUCUAAUAGAGGCUGCUUUUUUUUUCUUUUUUUUUUUCUUUUUUUUUCCCCAGAGGUGGAAAUCAUAGAAUAAUAGAAUGGCUUGGGCUGGAAGGGACCUUAAAGCCCACACAGUUCCAACCCCUGCCGUGGACUGGCUGCCCCCCACUCGGUCAGGCUGCCCAGGGCCCUCCAGCCUUGGACACCUCCAGGGAUGGGUACCCAGAGUUUGUUUUGUUUUUGCAGCCUUGGUUUUCUUGCUCCCGUCCAUGCACAUCUAGACAGCAUCUCAGUAUUCUUCCCAGGCCACCCAGCCCAGCUUCCAUUGCCUACAUUUGCUUCUUUCCCUCAGUCUGACCAGCAGGUACUUGCCCAGCCAUGCCAGUUUCCUGCCUCCUCUACUUGAUUUCUUAUUCUGGAGGUUGGAGAGCUCUUGUGCUCUCAGAAAGGCAUCCUUAAAGAGCUGCCAGCUCUGCUCCGUUCCUUUGUCCCUAAGAACAGCUUCCCAGAGGAUCUCAUCCAGCAACUCCCUAAGCAGCCUGAAGUUUGCUCUCCUGAAGUCCAGGGUCCUGACUGCUCUUGCCAGGCACAUAUUCCUUGAGAUCACAAAUGUGACCAGGGCAUAGUAGCUGCAGCCCAACCUGCCUCUAAUCUUCACCUCUUUACUGAUCUCUUCUGAAUCCUUGAGCUCUCUGGUCCAGUAACCCUUCUCCUCUGCUCAGUUUGUCUAAUACCUGGGCAGGCAGUUAUUGUCAGUGGGCUCUGGGAGUCUGCUGGACUGCUUGCAGCUCACCGUGUUGCUUUCUCAGAAGACACCUGGAUGUUUGAAAUCCCCCAUCAGGAUUAGAGUCUGCAACGCUUCUUGCAGAUAAAGCAAGAAGGCCUCACCCACAGGCUUCCUUUGGUCGGGCAGCCUGUAGUGGACCCCGACCACUGCAAGAUGUCCUUUGUUGGUCCAGUCCCCAAUUUUCACCUACAGGCUCUCAGUCUGUCUGUGGCUGUUUCUCAGAGGCAGCUCUUCACAAUCUAUUGAUUUCUUAGCUUAGAGGGCAACUCCAGCACUGGAACAGGUUGCCCAAGGAGGCUGUGGAUGCCUGGCAUUCAAGGCCAGGCUGGAUGUGGCUCUGGGCAGCCUGGGCUGCUGGCUGGUGACCUGCACAUAAAAGAGGGUUGGACCUAUUGUGGUCCUUUUCAACCCAGGCCAUUCUAUGAUUCUGUGAUGAUUCUAUGAUUCUAAAAACCUAUUAGCUCUCAAUCAUAGCGUUCCAGUUGUUUUGAUUUGUCCCACCAUGUUUCUAUGAUAGCAAUUAGGUCAUAGAUUUCUAACAAUGACUCCAGGGGAAAAAACUCAUUGUCUUUGUCUUGUGCUGAAAAAUACAGGCAUGUCCAUCUGUUAAGUUUUUGUGUUCAAUUUCAGAUACUCUUGUCUGAAACACCUUAACAAAUAUUGUGAUUGGAAAAGCAUCUUGAUGUAACUCUAGAUUCUUUUCCUGAAGUAACCACUGAUUCUCAAGCCACUUCAUUUCCAUACCUUGAAAACAGAAUAUUUGCUGUCUUUCAUAAAGAGCAUUGAAAUCUACAAAUGCAAAGUGAUACGUAAACAUCUGUAAUAAUGUAGUGGGUGAUAUUCUGCAGGGGUAUAAAAAGGGGGGACCAAAGAUGCUGGGAGAAUGAACUGACUUCUGUAGCUGCAGCUGAGCUCUUUAUCUUACCGUGGCAAUUUGCAACUCAGAAUUUGGUGGUGGGGAGACCGAGUGUGCAGUCAAGUGCAGUCAAUUAGAGCACAGCCUGAUUGACUGAACCUUAAGAAAACAUAUUCUGUUUGUGUUUGCAUUAAUGUAAAGGAUUCUCAGCCAUGAAGUAUGCGUAAACGUAGUGGGGUUUCUAUUUUCAAGCUUUAAUUUUUCCUUCUCUGUUGUCUUCCAACUGCCAUCUGAAAGAAAUCCCCAGUGGGAUUAAUUCUAAAAGUCCACGCAUAUCUACAGCAGAAGAAAAAUCUUUUGUCUUUAAAUACGCGUGCUGCAGAAAAGAAACAUUAUGCAGCUCAGCAUCAGACAUUUGCUAUGACAUGCAGUGGUGGCCCCGUUUAAUUCCUCCUAGUGGGCAAAACUGGUCCAGCAGUCACCAGUCUGUGAGCUGACUCCUGGCUCACUGAAGCACUGAGUGCAGCACUGAGAAGCUGCUUUUAUUUCUGAGCCAUUUGGUGAGUGCGCUUUGAUCGCUUUGAAGCGCUGGGGGGAGGUGCAGCCUUCUCCUCGCCAGGAGAUUAAUCAUCUGAUUUUUGGCAUCUCAGUAAUUACUGCUGGCAAAAAAAAAGCAGUUGUUUAAAUAGAGGCAAUAUACUGCAAGCACACUUAACUUUCAAUGACUUUGUUUCAGCCACUUGACUGUUCUUCGUGGGCAUUUUUACAGUCAGCUGAGGACUUGUAACCAAGCCUUUGGUGACAGCUGUCAGCUCCAGAUUGCCUCUAGCAGGCAAGGGUGUGAUUGCAAGAGGCUACCAUUGCCUUUGGCUUCUGGCCUUCUUGUGCUGAGCGUUCACAAAGGGAUGUGCACAGCCCUGACUGCUGCUGGCUCUGACUUCCUCUGCAUUCUGCUGACCUUAAACUGCUGCUGUGAUGGACUGAAGUAGCCCGAAGUGGGAACCUUUUGUCCCCAGCCAAAGCAAAAUGUUUAUCAGCAGCUCCUCUAAAGCCAUUACUGUUGCCCAAGUCUCUCCUCCUGCUGUCUGCUGCCUGCAGGAAGGCAAGGAAAGCUGGCGACCAGCCUGGGUGAAUGUGCUCUGCUCUGACAGCCACGUUAAUUACCUGCCCCAAACCUGUGCUACCAGGAGAAGCAGCUGUCGGUUCUGAGACCAUCUGUAGGCACAAGGCAGGAUUUGAGGGAGCUGCCUUUCUCUAUGACCUCUUAUAGCACUUGUAAGCUUUGUUUAGUGAUUUAUCCAACCUUCCGAUGUCCCUGACAGUUUAGUACUUCCCAAUGCUUUAACUACCAGAUUGUCCAUGAAUAGAUCAGGGUUACCGUCCAUUCCUAUAAGGCACGUUGAACAGAAGAUUUGUUUUAAAAACAUGAAACAAUCAGGUUCUGAGCUAAUAUGGGGGCUUCUUGUUUGCAUGGGCUUCAGCUCAGGCUGCACAAGGAGCCAGAAGAAUUUCUGCUGUGGAUUCUCCUGUAUGUUCUUGCAGAGAUUCUUUGAACACCAAUAGUUCUGUUAACAUCCCUAUGAGUGAAGCUGUGGUUGAGCACAAUCCAUGUAAAGUUGUUACAUUUGUCUGAGCUAAUUUUAAUCUAUUUCAGGGUUUCUGCUCAGCUCUGCCCUUUCUGUUCCUGAGCACCUCCCCAUCAGUGGCUGCGGGCACAACUGUGUGCCUGGGGACUUGGUUCUAUGGGAGCUUCCAGCUCAGGUUUGGGUACUGAGUGUUCCGCAGUUUCCCCAAUCAGAAGGAGGAAAAAAAGACAGAAAUUCUCAGAGUGACUGCUGCCAUUCAUAUGCAGAGCCUGGAGCCUAUGAGAGCUCAUUUAUGAGGCAUCGGACAGCAAUCAGCACCAGAUCAUUCACAAUGUCUUUGCAGUGUUCAGGACCAGGGUAAAUGACAAUUCUGCAAGUUUCUGGUUUUGCCCUCUCAUCCCAGCGGUUUGGAUCAGUGCUCUGAGGACGUGGGCACAGGAACUUGAUGAGUUUCACUUUUAAUGUCUUCGUUUGGACGCCAAGCAAAUUUAGGCUGAGAUGCCUUAGGAUGAUAUUUGCUCUUCUUUAUUUAAAUUCAAAGAGUUUAUCACUACAGAAACAUUUCAGAUGCUUAUUGUGGGAAGCUCAUGGAAACGUGCUUUGUUAAAUAAUGUGUUUUCUAUUUUGUUUUGUUUUCUCCUUUUCUUUUGUGUUACAGAAUGAAUGUAAAAGCUUUAAAACCCGGUAUUCACCACUCUGCAGUAGAUUUAAUAGAGUGGCAUUGUAUGAAGAGAUGCCAUGGUAACUGAAGUUGCUAAGACAGUUGGUGUCAAGCUUUUUAAUGGUGACUGCUAUACUAUAUUUGGCUUUGAUUAGUACAGUCUGAAUAGCAAAUGGAAAAUGUUUACUGGUCUCAUUUGCUACCACCUACAGUCCAGAAGUAAUGAGAUGACAGAAUGCAGUGUUGCACCAACUGCCAGCCACUGGCCACCAGGAUUGUUCUUUGCAGCACUCCCCUCUCCCACUGGAUCUCAUGGCAUCCUUGUCGCAGCCUUAGCAUUUGUGCUGUCCAGUUUGGUGAUAUGCCACUUGUCUGAAUGAAAUUUGGCACCUGGAGCCAGUAAAGGAGUCUGCACUUUGUGAGCUGGUGAAAAGUCAGCAAAGUCCUUUCCACAGGAAACUGUUCUUUGAAUCUGUGAGUGGAGUGAAAGCAGAAUAAAACGGAAACACAUGCUGUUUUUUUCUCAUGCGUGGGUUAGGUGUACCAAUCUCCCUUGCUGUAAAGCUUUAUAGAUCCUGCUAUCAACCGUUUUCACAAAAAUGAUGCAUUUCUGUGUCUCUUCAAUUUUUGUUUACUUUUUAAAUGCCAGAAUAAAAAGUGAAGUCACAUCGCCAAGGUGCCAUUU